AGUUACCUCAUUAAAAUGAGUCAAAAUUGAAAGGGGGAGGAGGCAGAGCGUGGAAGAAGGGGUUUCCGAUGCAGGGGGUUGCUGACCAUGAAGGGAUUAAAUCUAGAUUGGGCAUUGCAAUUUCUGGACGAAUAGGACAGGAUUUGGAAAUAAUGGAUACAAGAAAAUCCCAUUCAUUUCACUGUUUGAAGAAACUUCAUCGCACCGCUGAAGACAGGGCGCAACCGUAGCCUGUGUCCCCGUCCCGUGGGACCCACGAACACGCAGGUUACCGAGGAGGGGACACGACAAUGGGGAGCGACUACCUGCCUAAAUCAUCUGUGUAAAAAUAUUUCAACCCCUCCCCUUCCCUCCGCUCCCUGCUUCCCUCACUACCCUCUACCAAACCUUCCUCAACUUCCCAAAGUGAACGGACGAUCCUCUUCAGCUGUUUGUACAUUUCCGCUUUCUUUACCUGUUUACCAACAAUAACAUUCAUUUUGAUGUCUUUCACACAGUCCAGUGUUUUGUGUGCGUACUGAUGGCAUUUAAUCGCUUGGCGAUUUUGAAUGUCACACCACGUUAGAGCAAAGGCGAAAAGACGUGAUGGUUAAGCAGGAGGACUUGCGGGGCUGAGAAAACGGAAGGCAAUGAAACCUUACCAAAUUAAAUAUCUGGUAAUGAAACAAAA